GUAGUCCACGCCGUAAACGAUGCGCACUAGAUCGGUGCAGGUCUGACCCUGUAUCGGUCGACGCGAAAGCGAUAAGUGCGCCGCCUGGGGAGUACGGUCGCAAGAUUAAAACUCAAAUGAAUUGACGGGGGCUCACACAAGCGGUGGAGCAUGUUGCUUAAUUCGAGGCAACGCGAAGAACCUUACCUGGGUUUGACAUGCUUGGAUUAACUCCUUGAAAGAGGAGCCACACCCUCUGGGUGGAACAAGCACAGGUGCUGCAUGGCUGUCGUCAGCUCGUGCUGUGAAGCGUCGGGUUAAGUCCUAUAACGAGCGCAACCCCUGUCGCUAGUUGCUCGGUUCGCCAGUACUCUAGCGAGACUGCCGGUGUCAAACCGGA
rnacentral:rRNA from 1 species